UUACUAUUCAUGUAUUAAGUUUUCUUCUGAUUUUACAAAUCAGCUCCCCAGUACGGCUCUCUUUGCUAAGUUAAUCUGAAUCUUCCAAUAAGUUUUGACAGAGCUUGUCAUUUCAUCGUAUGGAAUUGCUUUCCCUAAAUCCGACUGUUGGGUGUGACAAAACCUAGCGAAUCAUCCUCUAAAACUUUGAAAAUUUCGAUCGAUCGUCGUGUUGUUCAUCUGGGUAGUUUUUUUGUUUAUCGCCUUUCAAUGCUGUUUCAGUUAAUCCGGAAACGAACAUUCUGCACGACCGGUCCCGUUUCUGCUAAUUCUCGGAUUUCUUGGUACGCCCGUCUGGGGCAAAUUGAGAAUGCUCGGACGGUUUUCGAUGAAAUUCCCUUCAAGAGUGUUGCUUCCUGGAACUCUAUAGUUGCUGGGUACUUCCAGAACAAGCAACCCCGUGAAGCUCGGCGGCUGUUUGAUAGCAUGCUGGAGCGAAACACCGUUUCUUGGAACGGUUUACUCUCUGGGUAUGUCAAGAAUAGAAUGGUGAAGGAAGCUCGGAAGGUGUUUGAUGAAAUGCCCGAAAGAAAUGUUGUUUCUUGGACUGCUAUGGUCAGAGGGUAUGUGGAGGAGGGGUUGAUCUCUGAGGCGGAAUCGCUUUUCUGGCAGAUGCCAGAGAAGAAUGUUGUGUCGUGGACUGUGAUGUUGGGCGGUUUGAUUCAAGUUGGUAGGGUUGAUGAGGCUCGCAGGCUAUUUGACAUGAUGCCGGUGAAGGAUGUGGUUGCUAGGACGAAUAUGAUAGGUGGAUACUGUCAGGAAGGUCGUAUGGUUGAAGCCCGUGAGCUUUUUGAUGGCAUGCCCCGCCGUAAUGUGAUUUCCUGGACUACUAUGGUUUCUGGUUAUGCACAAAAUCAACAGGUGGAUGUGGCUAGGAAGCUUUUUGAGGUGAUGCCAGAGAAGAAUGAGGUCUCCUGGACGGCAAUGCUGAUGGGUUACACUCAUUGUGGAAGGAUUGAGGAGGCAUCUGAGCUUUUCGAUGCAAUUCCUGUGAAGUCUGUCAUUGCUUGCAAUGCGAUGAUACUUGGAUUUGGCCAAAACGGGGAGGUUUUCAAAGCGAGGAAAAUAUUUGAUCGAAUGAGGGAGAGGGAUGAUGGGACUUGGAGUGCAAUGAUAAAGGUUUAUGAACGUAAAGGGUUUGAAUUGGAAGCACUUAAUUUGUUUUCCCUCAUGCAAAGAAAAGGAGUUCGAGCUAAUUUCCCUUGCCUAGUUAGUAUUCUGUCUGUUUGUGCUACCUUGGCUAGCCUUGAUCAUGGUAGACAGGUGCAUGCGCAGUUGUUUAGGUCCCAAUUUGAUUCUGAUGUGUAUGUUUCCUCAGUUUUGAUCACUAUGUACAUUAAAUGUGGUGAUCUGGUUAAGGCAGAACAGGUCUUUGACAAAUUUCCUCAUAAGGAUACUGUUAUGUGGAAUGCCAUGAUUACAGGUUAUGCGCAACAUGGUUUAGGAGAAGAAGCCUUAAAGGUAUUCAAUGAAAUGCACACUUCAGGCAUCGCAGGAGAUGAUGUUACUUUUAUUGGAGUUCUCUCAGCUUGUAGCUACACGGGGAAGGUUCAGGAAGGACUUGAAAUUUUUGAAUCUCUGGAAACCAAGUAUCUGGUGGACCCAAAAAGUGAACAUUAUGCUUGUGUUGUUGAUCUGCUAGGUCGAGCUGGUCGUUUAAACGAGGCAAUGAAUUUAAUUGAAAAAAUGCCUGUUGAACCAGAUGCUAUUGUUUGGGGUUCCUUAAUGGGUUCGUGUAGGACACACAUGAACAUGGAUUUGGCUGAAGUUGCAGCCAAAAAACUUUUACAGCUUGAGCCUAGAAAUGCUGGGCCCUAUAUCUUGCUAUCAAACUUAUAUGCAUCAAGAGGUAGAUGGGCUGAUGUUGCAGAGUUGAGGAAAUGCAUGAGGUCGAGGAAGGUGAGCAAGAAACCUGGUUGUAGCUGGAUUGAAGUGGAGAAGAAAGUGCAUAUGUUUACUGGAGGAGAAAGCAUGCCCCACCCUGAGCAUUCGAUGAUCAUGAGGAUGUUGGAGAAACUAGGUGGCUUGUUAAGAGAAGCUGGGUAUUCUCCUGAUGCUACCUUUGUGCUUCAUGAUCUAGAUGAAGAAGAAAAGGUGCAUAGCUUGGGGCAUCAUAGUGAGAAACUUGCUGUGGCAUAUGGACUUAUAAAGGUCCACAAAGGAAUGCCUAUUCGGGUAAUGAAGAACCUUCGAGUUUGUGGGGAUUGCCACUCUGCAAUCAAAUUAAUAGCAAAGGUCACUGGUCGAGAAAUCAUAUUGAGGGAUGCUAACAGAUUCCAUCACUUCAAGGAUGGCUCAUGUUCAUGCAGGGACUAUUGGUGAUUGCACUGAAGCUGACAUCAUUUAAUGGACUUUAAGACCAGAUUCUGGUCUUCUGGGUAUGCACAUGCAUAUAUCCCCUUCAGCAGAUGAUUAAUCUUGACAAGGCCAACUAUCUACUCUGGGGCCUCUCUUGGCUGGAAGAAGAGUGUGGCAAUAUUGAACUUGGACCACCUAUUACAUUGUUACAACGAGAUUGAAGUAUGAAAAGAUAACUUGGCAUUUACUUAGGAAAAGAAAGUUGCUUGAGAGACAUAAAUUAUGCAAGAUUUUGAUUUCAUUACUCCCAUCCAGUUCGAUGGUAUAAGAGGGGAUAUUGCAACUCAACCCUUCCUUAUUUGGCAACACUUGUUCGGGAAACUGAGUCUUUAGACUCCUCUUUGGGCUAUUAAAGACCUUCAGCCAUGAAUAGCAACCUAUUUUCUGUAUGAUGAUCAUUUUUGUACAGGAGUCUUACUCUUGUUUUGCAAAAAGAUUAUUUCCAUAACUUGAACUUGUUACCAAAAGAUCACAAAUAGCAACCUUACUGCCAAGGCACGCCCCUCUGUGAGGGAGUUAUAAUUCUGCUACAAAAUUAAUUGCAGAAGUCAGAGGGAACAAGAUUGUUCUGAGGAUGAUAAUAGUGGCACCACUUCGGGCUCGUAUGGGCUUUUGCAAGUAAUGUUGAUAAAGUUCAAAUGGCAGAAGGACUGGUUGUCAGUAUUUAUCAACCAUGUUGUCUAGCCUUAUUGGUCCUACUGGUGGAUCUUACCUCAGAUGCUGGGUUAGAAGAUCGUAUCAUAUAUUCCUGACAGAUAAAAUGGAAUGGAGAUGGGAAAAAGGCCACAUGAUCAUGACACCUAUUCCAGAAAGAUGCUUGGGGAAGAAAAACCAAAGACACUUUGAAGCAAGUUCAGCUGCAUAACCAUUCUGUUGUAAGGUUGGCCCAAGCUUUACAGAUGCCAGGCUACGUCUUCACUUCUGCCUGGAGCAUGAUGACUAACAUUUCCAACGGUGAACAGUUCUAUGAAUUCUGUAGAUUGGUGCAUGCUAGGAGUCCAAAGAGACGCCUGUUUUCUGUCACACAUAUGCUUGAUGACCGAUUGAUGGUGUAAUUUGAAGAAUGUUUGAAAGUAGGUGCUCUUACGGUUCGAUCUGACUGGGAAGGCAUUAAAUAACAGCUUGUUGAGGCGGAUGUUCAUCUCAUGCACUAGGAGCUGUCAGCUGACUGCUCAAUUUUUUGCUAAAAUCUUCUACAUUCUUCAGGUGCUGCUCCUUGCAAGAGUCCUGUCUUCCCCAAGAUAGAAUACUUGCAUGUAUGCCUACACGGUAACAGGACGACACGGUGGUAAACGGGAAAGGAUGUAAUACAUGUUAUAUGCAUGUUUUACAGAUAUGAUUUUGGAUUCCAUAAUUUUUAUUUUGGCCAGGGCUCAUGUUUGAGUUGCAUGGGCACCAUGAACUACUAGAGCCUCUUCUUCCCGUUUUCAUGGGGCUUCAUGAAUUAUAUUUCCCAUGAUAACAGUCUGUUCAUACCUCUGGGUUGAUACUAGCAAGUAAAAUUCCAAAGAGCCGCCACUUUGUUGUCACAUUUAUCACACGACAACCAAUUCACUGUUUUCUUUUGGCGAAUGUUCGGAUUAUGCCUGUUUUUGUUCGUAUAUGCUUGACAGCCAAUUUGUGGUUGCUUUCAAAGAAUGUUCAACUAGCUGCCUUAGAAUUAUGAUCUUGUGGGGAACGGAUUUUAACAGUAGUGCUCAAAUUCACGUCUUUGUUUCAUACACUAGGAAGAAGCAUGUAAAGUGGCUGCUGAAGUUUUUGCUAAAAUCUUCUCCUCUUUAGGUGCGCUGGCGCACAUAGUGGAAUUAAGUCUUGAUAUAUUGUUAUACUUUUCUUCUUUAGACUACAUCACAAAAUUUACUCGGGUCCACAAUUUUAAUGAGUUGUAAACAAACAGCAGGCUGGUCUCAAUUCACC